GGAGUUUUGUCUGUGGCUCGUCCUGCUACAUUUCUUGGUUCCCUGACUGGGAAGUGAGGUGAUUGGUGGAUGGUUGAGGCAGCUCCUUAGGCGGCUUAAGCCUGCCCUGUGGAACAUGCCUGCUGGGGACUCCGACCAGCCUGAGAGACGCAGAUCCUGAGAGCGCUCCCGGGUACGCAUUUGCCCCGGUUGGACGCCUCGCCAGAGCAGUGUGUGGCAGGCUACCGUGGAGGAUCAACACAGUGGCUGAACACCAUGAAGGAGCAGGCACUUGGAGUCUGGACAUCUAAAACUUGGUGCGGUGUUUCUGCCUGAAAGCAGUGCUUGAUACCAGCACGAACUCUGCAUCUUCAGAAGUCCCACUGGGUGUUCUGGUGGCCUUUUUCUAAAGAGACAUUUGGAUUAAACUUUUAUUAUAUCUGAUGACCUCCAUGUAUUGAGAAAAUAAACAGGAGAGGAAGAAAAGUGUGGAGGAUGACAGAAGUCAGAGGACAGUCAUGGGCAUGAGAAGCCAAACGAUGGCACACAACUAUCUCACCUGAAUGGAGUCAAGUUCUGGCCCAGGAGGAAGCUGCGUUGUCCCAGAUGAAAAAUUAAUUUGUUUUCCUGCAUGCCUCUGAGGGCUUUCUCUACAGAAGUCUGCCUCUUGGAAAAUCUUUCUUCCUUUCUCCUUCAUUUUAUUACUGUGUUCUAUAGCUGUGGUCCUACCUAAUCAGGUCACCCAAUGCCUAAAGCACAGAAAGUUUAUAAUGCUGAAAAGGGAGCAAAUUAUCUCAUCUCAUUUGUUAUCCCAGAGACUAAUUAGUAUGCAAAAUGACCAUUUUCCCUGGACUCUACUUUUUUCAUUAUCUAUGGAAUGACAGAGACACCUCAAGGAAGAUAACUCAGUUCGACCACCUGCUUUAUCCUUUGGAUAUCUGUGGAUAAGACAUGUCAGCAAUGCACAUUCUCCCAAAGUUAUUUGAGCUCUCUUGCAGGCCAUUUAUAGAGCAGGUCAUUCACAUAAGCAACAGCAGUGAAAAGACUGGUGAAAUCAAGAAAAGCUUCUAUAGCUUGGCAUAGAAAUUAAAACAAACAAAUAGACAAACAAACAAAAGCCUCCUUUAGCACUGGUUAGAAUAGCCAUGGAUUUGAAGUCUUGUUGAUGCAGAGGGUACACAAGGCACAGGAUUACGGCUGAACAAAAGCAUUCAAAAUAUGUUUUAAAGAAAUCCAUAUUUCUAGAUUCUCUUGAAAAAUAACGAUCCCAUAUUCCAACAGGACACCAUUUCACUUGAACUUGGACCUGACAUUGGAUGUCUCUUUAGAUUCGUCAUGAUAUCCCCAGUUUUUUGCAGUCCCUACUAUACAUAAAAUAUAAUCAUAACUAUUUAAACUUUGCUUGCUUCUCUCAGUUAUGUUAAGUAUUAAUUCUUGUGCCUGUUGAAAUUUGCUAAUUCUUCCUUCAGGAAAAUGCCAAAAGCAGAUUAAAGCAUUAGUGUGAAAAUGUUAAGAGCUGUGUUUUAAUGGAUUUUGAAUGAGACACAUAAUCUAACUUUUUUAUUUCUUUCAUUUGUAAAAACAACUCUGUGGGUUAGUCAUUGUAUGAGGCAAUAGAAAUUUAUUCUAUUUAAUUUCCAUACGAACAGUUCAAGCUUUCUGUUAUCCACAUUUUCUGAUGGAAAAAUUAGAUGUGAGAAAAGUAAAAAAAAAAAAUCCAAGGUUAUAGAAUAAUUAGAGUUCAAACACAGAUCAUUCUUGCUCCUGUGACUUAUUCAGA
rnacentral:lncRNA from 1 species